rnacentral:lncRNA from 1 species
UGAUUUCAAGAGAGGCCGUGAUGCUCCCAUCUCAGGGAACCAGUAAAAUAAAAUAAAAACACUACUUACGAAAGUAACAAAUUUCCAAAAAGAAAAUACGUUUAUAUAAAAAGUAUCUUUACAUAGAUACCGAGUAGUGUUUACCUUUUACUAUUGUAUGAAUAAAGCGUGAGAGCGUAUAAUGCGUCUCAGAAGUGAAUUACAGGAUGUCUUGAAAGAGUGAAUUACAGGAUGUCUUGCUUGUCGAAGUUCUUGAUAUAUCGACUUAACAUAAUUAUUAAGACCUUCUCUCUCACUUAGAGUCUUUCUUCCAUCUCUUCUCUUCUUCACUUCAGCCACUUCUCUGUCUCUUCGACCUUCUCUGAGCAAAUGCUAAGGGAACUGCUAGCUUAUCAGCAAGCAACGAGGGUUUCUGGAACUUGAUCUUGUUUUGGGGAACUGGGUUGAAGAGAAUGUCAAUUCCAUGGACGAGAACACCGUUAAAUCCCUAAUUCAUGUCCUCGAUUUGGUAUGUCUUUAUCAUCACGAUAUUUCACAUCUCAGAUUCCAUAUAUAGUUAGUUCUCUUGUGCAUAUUAUUUUGAGAAACAUGUUAUAGGAGUUUCUGUAACUUCUUACGUGAUCUUAAUUAUAAUCUCAAAAUGAUGUUGUCAAUUGUUAAAUAAUUUCCCUGUAUUAAUAUUAUUGUAGAGAACAUACACAAGAGUAUGGAUUUGCUAAGAGCAGAUGAUGAAAACACGAUGUGAUUCAUAGUGGCCUCAAAUACUUUUCUUGAACAUAACUUUUUUUUGAUAAUAGUGGUUUUGGCUCUGUGCAGGAAAACCCUGAUCUUUGGAAAUGGUUAACUGGUCAGGAACAACCUCCGGAGAUAGUGAGCUCAAAUCCGGUAAGCUCAACCCUCAUGAUAUAUCCUCCAAUGUCUUAGAAAGCAUAAGUAAGUAGCCAAUGACUUAAAUCAAUCAUUUGGUUGUAAUGAAUAAAGGUAUUCUUGGCGUUGCACAAGAAAGUCAUGACGAAUCUGAACAAGCAUGCAGCACCAAAGACGCGUGCAGAAGCUGGACAGCCUUGGGUCAAAGGCUGGGAUGAUUUCAAGAGAGGCCGUGAUGCUCCCAUCUCAGGGAACCAGUAAAAUAAAAUAAAAACACUACUUACGAAAGUAACAAAUUUCCAAAAAGAAAAUACGUUUAUAUAAAAAGUAUCUUUACAUAGAUACCGAGUAGUGUUUACCUUUUACUAUUGUAUGAAUAAAGCGUGAGAGCGUAUAAUGCGUCUCAGAAGUGAAUUACAGGAUGUCUUGAAAGAGUGAAUUACAGGAUGUCUUGCUUGUCGAAGUUCUUGAUAUAUAAAUACAGGUAUCAAGGGAUUGCGUUUGUUGAAUUCGUUUUGUGUUUUCUGUAUAUGGG